rnacentral:rRNA from 1 species
CCCUUAGAUGUUCUGGGCCGCACGCGCGCUACACUGAUGCGUUCAACAAGUUUCCUUGGCCGAGAGGCCUGGGCAAUCUUCUUAAUAUGUAUCGUGAUAGGGAUAGAUUAUUGCAAUUAUUAAUCUUGAACGAGGAAUUCCUAGUAAACGCAGAUCAUCAAUCUGCAUUAAUUACGUCCCUGCCCUUUGUACACACCGCCCGUCGCACCUACCGAUUGGAUGUUCCGGUGAAGCCUCGGGAUGAGGACUGGUGCCUUUAUUGGCAUGAGUUGUUCAGAACUUGUCUAAACCUUAUCAUCUAGAGGAAGGUGAAGUCGUAACA